rnacentral:rRNA from 1 species
UACGUAGGGGCCAAGCGUUGUCCGGAAUUAUUGGGCGUAAAGAGCUCGUAGGCGGUCUGUUGCGUCCGCUGUGAAAACUCGGGGCUUAACCCCGAGCCUGCAGUGGAUACGGGCAGACUAGAGGUAGGUAGGGGAGAAUGGAAUUCCCGGUGUAGCGGUGAAAUGCGCAGAUAUCGGGAGGAACACCGGUGGCGAAGGCGGUUCUCUGGGCCUUACCUGACGCUGAGGCGCGAAAGCUAGGGGAGCAAACGGG